GUCUGUCUGUAGGUAAUAUCAUGUCUGUCUGUAGGCAAUAUCAUGUCUGUUCUGUCUGUAGUUAAUAUCAUGUCUGUCUGUAGGUAAUAUCAUGUCUGUCUGUAGGUAAUAUCAUGUCUGUUCUGUCUGUAGUUAAUAUCAUGUCUGUCUGUAGGUAAUAUCAUGUCUGUCUGUAGUUAAUAUCAUGUCUGUCUGUAGGUAAUAUCAUGUCUGCCUGUAGUUAAUAUCAUGUCUGUCUGUAGGUAAUAUAAUGGCUGGUCCAGCAUCAUGAUAACAUGUCUGUCUGUAGGUAAUAACAUGUCUGUCUGUAGGUAAUAUCAUGUCUGUCUGUCUGUAGGUAAUAUCAUGUCUGUCUGUAGUUGUCUGUUCUGUCUGUAGUUAAUAUCAUGUCUGUUCUGUCUGUAGUUAAUAUCAUGUCUGGUCUGUCUGUAGUUUAUAUCAUGCCUGGUCCAGCAUCAUGAUAACAUGUCUGUCUGUAGUUAAUAUAAUGUCCUGUAGGUAAUAUCAUGUCUGUUCUGUCUGUAGGUAAUAUGUCUGUUCUGUCUGUAGUUUAUAUAAUGUCUGGUCCAGCGUCAUGAUAACAUGUCUGCCUGUAGGUAAUAUCAUGUCUGUUCUGUCUGUAGGUAAUAUCAUGUCUGGUCCAGCAUCAUGAUAACAUGUCUGUCUGUAGUUAAUAUUAUGUCUGUCUGUAGUUAAUAUUAUGUCUGUCUGUAGUUUAUAUAAUGUCUGGUCCAGCAUCAUUGUAACAUGUCUGUCUGUAGUUAAUAUCAUGUCUGUUCUGUCUGUAGGUAAUAUCAUGUCUGUCUGUAGGUGAUAUCAUGUCUGUCUGUAGUUUAUAUAAUGUCUGGUCCAGCAUCAUGAUAACAUGUCUGUCUGUUCUGGAGGAUGUCAGUGUCCAGCAUCGUAAACCGUCAGAUCUCCCUCCACCUGGACCCCUGGCCUUCCUGGAACAGGCCUCAGCUAGUCUACCAGCUGCACCACUCAAACAGACCUAACACACACACCUCUCUC
rnacentral:lncRNA from 1 species